AACGAACGCUGGCGGCAUGCCUAACACAUGCAAGUCGAACGAGACCUUCGGGUCUAGUGGCGCACGGGGGCGUAACGCGGGGGAACCUGCCCGUAGGUUCGGAAUAACUCCCCGAAAGGGGUGCUAAUACCGGAUAAUGUCUUCGGACCAACGAUUUUUCGCCUUUGGAUGGGCCCGCGUUAGCUUAGCUGGUUGGUAGGGUAAAAGCCUACCAAGGCGACGAUCCAUGGCUGGUCGGAGAGGAUGGUCAGCCACACUGGGACUGCGACCCGGCCCAGACUCCUACGCGAGGCAGCGGUGUGGAAUAUUGUACGCGGGGCGCAAGCCUGGUACCGCCAUGCCGCGUGAGUGGUGCAGGCCUUAGGGUUGUAAAGCUCUUUUAGCCGGGACGAUAAUGACGGUACCGGGUGAAUAAGCUCCGGCUAACUCCGUG
rnacentral:rRNA from 1 species